AACGAACGCUGGCGGUAUGCUUAACACAUGCAAGUCGAACGAACAAAAUUGGGGCUUGCUCCAAUUUUAGUGAGUGGCAAACGGGUGAGUAACACGUGGAAAUCUACCUAUCAGUACGGAAUAACAUUUGGAAACAGAUGCUAAUACCGUAUAUUCUCCAAGGAGGAAAGAUUUAUCGCUGAUAGAUGAGCCCGCGUAAGAUUAGGUAGUUGGUUGGGUAAUGGCCUACCAAGCCGACGAUCUUUAGCUGGUCUGAGAGGAUGAUCAGCCACACUGGGACUGAGACACGGCCCAGACUCCUACGGGAGGCAGCAGUGGGGAAUAUUGGACAAUGGGCGAAAGCCUGAUCCAGCAAUACCGCGUGAAUGAUGAAGGCCUUAGGGUUGUAAAGUUCUUUUAGUUGGAAAGAUAAUGACGGUACCAACAGAAAAAGCCCCGGCUAACUCCGUGCCAGCAGCCGCGGUAA
rnacentral:rRNA from 1 species